CACGUAGGGUGCGAGCGUUGUCCGGAAUUAUUGGGCGUAAAGAGCUCGUAGGCGGUGUGUCGCGUCGGCCGUGAAAACCUGCAGCUUAACUGUGGGCUUGCGGUCGAUACGGGCAUCACUGGAGUUCGGCAGGGGAGACUGGAAUUCCUGGUGUAGCGGUGAAAUGCGCAGAUAUCAGGAGGAACACCGGUGGCGAAGGCGGCUCACUGGACCGGUACUGACGCUGAUGCGCGAAAGCGUGGGGAGCAAACGGG
rnacentral:rRNA from 1 species